GCUGAAUGCCAACUUCAGCUCUGUAUCCAUUUGCCUUUUCAUGUUACAUUAUGUGAGAAAGGAAGUGUACAACCUAACCUUGUCUUAAACCUCUUCAGGAUCAUCUCUGCAUCCUUGAGGAUAAAAACAACAAAAGAGUAGGAAUGAAAACAACUACUUUACUCGGAAAUUUGUUACUGAACACAUUUUCUAUUAGGCCUCUUCUAGGCUUUGUAAAGAUCUUUAUAAAGAUUCUGUUUUGUCCUUAA